rnacentral:rRNA from 1 species
CUAGCUGCGAUAACUAGUGCGAAUUGCAGACACAUUGAGCACUAAGAUUUUGAACGCAAAUUGCGCCAUUGGGUUCAUUCCCAAUGGCACGUCUGGUUGAGGGUCGAA